GUCCGUCAUCCGUCGCUCCCCCCCCCCCGUCNCCUGCCNCUUGGUUUCCCCACCGCGGCUCCGGCGUGCUCCGCGGCCCCUCCUCGUCUCAAUACGCUUCCCAAUACGCCCUGAAUCCCCCCCUCCUUCGCUCUUACUCCGUCUCCUUUACCCCCCCGAGUCGCCCUGCUCGCCCGCCGCCCCUCGGACGGCCCCGUCCCACCUCGGCACCGUCCACUCCAGCCAGGCACCCCGGCCCUCUCGCUGCGGCAGGUCCCCAAGUGGCGUCAUCCCCCGUAUCCCGACACAACUACCUUCACCCUGAUCUUCCCCCCCUCCGGCAGACACCUGCCAGGGCGAGAAAGCCGAGCCCGAACACAGCGCCCUCCAUGGCGUUCCUAAGCUCGGUUCGUGAGCCGUUGGCCUAACCCCCGCCAGAGCCGCAACCCUCUCCCCUAGUCCCCCCAAAUCNACCGGGGGACUCUAGGGGACACUGCCGGUGACAAACCGGAGGCAGGUGGGGAUGACGUCAAGUCCUUAUGGCNCNUACGGGNCAGGGCUANACACGUACUACAAUGGUCGGUNCAGAGGAAAAAGAAGCCGCGAGGUGGAGCCAAUCCCAGAAAACCGAUCUCAGUCCGGAUUGGAGUCUGCAACUCGACUCCAUGAAGUCGGAAUCGCUAGUAAUCGCGAAUCAGCUAUGUCGCGGUGAAUACGUUCCCGGGCCUUGUACACACCGCCCGUCACACCAUGGGAGUUGGCUGCACCAGAAGCAGGUAGUCUAACCGCACGAGGGAGCACCUACCACGGUGUGGUCAAUGACUGGGGUGAAGUCGUAACACAAUGUAAGUCAAGCCCAUGGCGCCCGGGAGAAUGCGAAAUGGGGCCAAUAUGCCCUAUAGGAGUCGUAUACAUAUC
rnacentral:rRNA from 1 species